GUGUUGUCAGGCCCAAGGGCAUCUUCCAUCCUUGUCAAGGGGAGUGCUGACCUUCUCUCCUUUCAUACAAUGUAUAUGGUUAAGGCAUUGACACCUACUUCGUGGCAUCUAACCAUCGUUUUUU